rnacentral:rRNA from 1 species
UAGUCAUAUGCUUGUCUCAAAGAUUAAGCCAUGCAUGUCUAAGUAUAAACAAGUCUAUACUGUGAAACUGCGAAUGGCUCAUUAAAUCAGUUAUAGUUUAUUUGAUAGUACCUUACUACUUGGAUAACCGUGGUAAUUCUAGAGCUAAUACAUGCUUAAAAACCCGACUUCUGGAAGGGUUGUAUUUAUUAGAUAAAAAACCAACGCGGGCAACCGCUUUUUUGGUGAUUCAUAAUAACUUUUCGAAUCGUAUGGCUUUUACGCCGACGAUGGUUCAU